UACGGAGGGGGCUAGCGUUAUUCGGAAUUACUGGGCGUAAAGCGCAUGCAGGCGGGUCGUUAAGUCGGGGGUGAAAUCCCAGGGCUCAACCCUGGAACUGCCUUCGAUACUGGCGAUCUUGAGUCCGGGAGAGGUGAGUGGAACUCCGAGUGUAGAGGUGAAAUUCGUAGAUAUUCGGAAGAACACCAGUGGCGAAGGCGGCUCACUGGCCCAUUACUGACGCUGAGGUGCGAAAGCGUGGGGAGCAAACAGG
rnacentral:rRNA from 1 species